AUACGUAGGGUGCGUGCGUUGUCCGGAAUUACUGGGCGUAAAGAGCUCGUAGGUGGUUUGUCGCGUCGUCUGUGAAAUUCCGGGGCUUAACUCCGGGCGUGCAGGCGAUACGGGCAUAACUUGAGUACUGUAGGGGAGACUGGAAUUCCUGGUGUAGCGGUGAAAUGCGCAGAUAUCAGGAGGAACACCGGUGGCGAAGGCGGGUCUCUGGGCAGUAACUGACGCUGAGGAGCGAAAGCAUGGGUAGCGAACAGGAUUAGAUACCCUGGUAGUCCAUGCCGUAAACGGUGGGCGCUAGGUGUAGGGGUCUUCCACGACUUCUGUGCCGUAGCUAACGCAUUAAGCGCCCCGCCUGGGGAGUACGGCCGCAAGGCUAAAACUCAAAUGAAUUGACGGGG
rnacentral:rRNA from 1 species